rnacentral:rRNA from 1 species
GGUUAAGCGACUAAGCGUACACGGUGGAUGCCCUGGCAGUCAGAGGCGAUGAAGGACGUGCUAAUCUGCGAUAAGCGUCGGUAAGGUGAUAUGAACCGUUAUAACCGGCGAUUUCCGAAUGGGGAAACCCAGUGUGUUUCGACACACUAUCAUUAACUGAAUCCAUAGGUUAAUGAGGCGAACCGGGGAAACUGAAACAUCUAAGUACCCCGAGGAAAAGAAAUCAACCGAGAUUCCCCCAGUAGCGGCGAGCGAACGGGGAGGAGCCCAGAGCCUGAAUCAGUGUGUGUGUUAGUGGAAGCGUCUGGAAAGGCGCGCGAUACAGGGUGACAGCCCCGUACACAAAAAUGCACAUACUGUGAGCUCGAUGAGUAGGGCGGGACACGUGGUAUCCUGUCUGAAUAUGGGGGGACCAUCCUCCAAGGCUAAAUACUCCUGACUGACCGAUAGUGAACCAGUACCGUGAGGGAAAGGCGAAAAGAACCCCGGCGAGGGGAGUGAAAAAGAACCUGAAACCGUGUACGUACAAGCAGUGGGAGCCUCUUUUAUGG